ACCUGAGCGCUUCCGCCACGCCUCCUUCAGCCGGGGCGCCACCCCCCACAUCCCUUCAGUUUGGACGCCACUGCCUUCCCCUCCCACCUGGGCACCGCCCCCCACGCCCCCAACCAGCCUAGGCACCGCCCCCACGUCACCUCCAGCUACCGUCCCGUAUUAGAGAGGCUUCCGGACGGCGGCCUGGCAUCUGGACCGGAACCCAGGGCCGGGGUCUACUGGUGCUCGGCGGCCUUGCUCUCCGCCCAGGCCACGCCCGCCAUGGUCUGCGGCUUCGGUUCUGAGAACCACCUUUAUCAGAUUUGCAGGGUGUUUUUUUCCUUGAGGAGCUCGAGCUGCUGACCUUAAGCUGCAGGGACCGCCCCUCAAUCCGAGGAACACCGCGGCACUUUGGGCGGACAGGGCAGGAUGGGGAGUGGGCAGCUCCAUCAGUCUCUCUCUCUCUCUCUCUCUCUCUCUCACUCACACACACACACACACACACACACACACACACACACACACACACAGUUUACUCUGAAUGCGGGAAAGUUGGGCCUGGGUCCUGUUCGGCGAAGCCAGACUGCCACCUGACCCAGGCCCCCAGACCCGCAGCAUUCCUGACAAGCCCCUACCCACCUGCGCGCUGGGCCAGCCUGUUUCCCCGAGUAGAAAGCCGGGAUGAUUUCGCUUCUGUGCUUUGGGGACCCCUACACUGCCCCGCGAGAAGACCAGCUGCUCCGCGGAAAGGCCCAGCCACCCCAGUGCCCUGAGCCUGCGUCCAGCCAGCCAGCCAGCCGUCGGGUGCCGGGCCAGAAGGGAAACUAUCCUGGAUGGUCCAGCCCCUCCCACAGCCACGUGUGGGGCCCAGGAUGUCUCCACGUGCAGACGUGAUGCUCAAACACAGGCAGGAAGGGCAACUGAGUCUCUGCUGGAGAAAGCACCGCGGCCGUGUGUGGGUGCAUACACACCACUCACCACUGAGCCCAAACGUGCCUCUGAGCCGGAGCCCUAACAUUCCCAGACCCAGGAGACUACCCGACUACACACCCUCUCCACGAACUGCCAGACGUAGGAGAUAAAGUGCUGGACCUCCCACAAUAUGUGGCCUGGAAGCCUGACCUGUUUUAUGUGGCUGUCUACAAAGGGGGGAAUUUACACAAUGUGAAAUGCACACGUCUGAAGGACACCAUCUAGGCACUCCAAUCAAUGUUUAUGUGUGUAAUGGAACCUCUAUCAAGAAAUGGAAUGUUGACCCCACAAAAUUCCCUCGUGCCCCUUCUCAGUCCCCCAAGCACUGUUCUGUUGCUUUGUUUCGUUUACUAUAGUUUACUUUGGCUCUAGUGUGUUAUAUAAAUAGAAUCAUACAGUAUCUGCCUUUCGUGUCUGGCACCUUUCACCCAACUGGCAGUUUUUACACUCACCCAGGUUGAUUGCCGCUCCCCUGUGGAUGAGACCUUGGGCUGCCUCCACUCUGGUUGAUAGGAAUAAAGCUGACCUGAGCUCUCUUGCACGUC